AAGUACAUUUCCUGGCCCUGUUUUGGCACCCUACAAGUACAUUUCCUGGCCCUGUUUUGGCACCCUACAAGUACAUUUCCUGGCCCUGUUUUGGCACCCUACAAGUACAUUUCCUGGCCCUGUUUUGGCACCCUAUUAAUACAUUUCCUGGCCCUGUUUUGGCACCCUACAAGUACAUUUCCUGGCCCUGUUUUGGCACCCUACAAGUACAUUUCCUGGCCCUGUUUUGGCACCCUACAAGUACAUUUCCUGGCCCUGUUUUGGCACCCUAUUAAGUACAUUUCCUGGCCCUGUUUUGGCACCCUACAAGUACAUUUCCUGGCCCUGUUUUGGCACCCUACAAGUACAUUUCCUGGCCCUGUUUUGACACCCUUCUAAGCACAUUUCCUGGCCCUGUUUUGGCACCCUAUUAUAUACAUUUCCUGGCACUGUUGGCAUUCUAUAAGUACAUUUCCAAGUUGACAUUGAUUGCUCCAACACUACCUUGGUUCUGAUAUGGCAACUUUAGUUUAUAUAUAUAGCGUUAAAACCUGGUGAUUUCGUAUGUAAAUUAUUAGCUGAGAAAAUGUAGAUCGUUUAAAUAUAUUGAAGAAGUUUGUGUACAUAAAUAUACUUACUUUAUCCUGGUGUGUGUGUGUGUGUGUGUGUGUGUGUGUGUGU